rnacentral:rRNA from 1 species
GAUAAACGCUGGCGGCGUGCUUCAGGCAUGCAAGUCGAACGGUCAUCUGGUUUCGGCCAGAUGGUAGUGGCGGACGGGUGAGUAACACGUAAGUAACCUGCCCGGAAGUGGGGAAUAACUAGCCGAAAGGCUGGCUAAUACCGCAUGUGAAGGUCCUUCCUCGGGAGGGUCUUGAAAGGUGCAAAUCGCUUUCGGAGGGGCUUGCGGCCGAUUAGCUAGUUGGUGGGGUAAUGGCCUACCAAGGCGACGAUCGGUAGCUGGUCUGAGAGGACGGUCAGCCACACGGGGACUGAGAUACGGCCCCGACUCCUACGGGAGGCAGCAGUCGGGAAUUUUGGGCAAUGGGCGAAAGCCUGACCCAGCAACGCCGCGUGAAGGAUGAAAUCCUCGGGAUGUAACUUCGCAAGAACAGGAAGAAUAAGUAGGGACAAUACCCCAUGAUGACGGUACUGUUUGUAAGCACCGGCUAACUCUGUGCCAGCA